AAAUCUGCAGGGAGUUGGCUGGGGGCUGGCUGUUUAGGUGCUGGUCUGCAGAUAAAGUAAAUAGGAGGUAUUACUUUUAAAGUCAUCUACAUAUUUCCCAUCCAUUAACUAUAAUGGAACUGCAGAUCACCAACUCUUCCAUAAACAUUUAAACACAGGUGGCAGGAACUGUUCCAAAAUGUGAAAACAUUCCUGAAGGUCAUUCCUGAAGACAGUGAAACAAUUGCACUUCGUAUCUCAGACGAUGGAGAGAAGAUAACAAUGGAGCC